UGGCGGACGGUGAGUAACGCGUGGGUAACCUGCCUCAUACAGGGGGAUAACAGUUAGAAAUGACUGCUAAUACCGCAUAAGCGCACGGUUUCGCAUGGAACAGUGUGAAAAACUCCGGUGGUAUGGGAUGGACCCGCGUCUGAUUAGCUGGUUGGCGGGGUAACGGCCCACCAAGGCGACGAUCAGUAGCCGGCCUGAGAGGGUGAACGGCCACAUUGGGACUGAGACACGGCCCAAACUCCUACGGAAGGCAGCAG
rnacentral:rRNA from 1 species